rnacentral:rRNA from 1 species
GUGCCAGCCGCCGCGGUAAUACGGGGGGGGCAAGCGUUGUUCGGAAUUACUGGGCGUAAAGGGUUCGUAGGUGGCCCGCUAAGUCACACGUGAAAUCCCUCAGCUUAACUGGGGAACUGCGUGUGAGACUGGCGGGCUUGAGUGCAGGAGAGGAACGCGGAAUUCCAGGUGUAGCGGUGAAAUGCGUAGAUAUCUGGAGGAACACCGGUGGCGAAGGCGGCGUUCUGGACUGUAUCUGACACUGAGGAACGAAAGCCAGGGGAGCAAACGGGAUUAGAUACCCCAGUAGUCC